rnacentral:rRNA from 1 species
UGCUCAAUUGAUUUUUAAAUUGCUGUAGUAUUUUGACUAUACAAAGGUAUUGUAAUAAGACUUUAAUUGAGUGCUAAAAGAAUGGACUUUCAAAAAAACUCUUUUUUAAAUUUAAAAAUUUAAAUUAUUUUUAUUUGUGAAGAAACAAUAAUUUAAAUUAAGGACAAGAAGACCCUAAGAAUUUUAGUAUUUUUCAUAUAAAAUUUUAUAUGUAAAAUGCUUAAUUGGGGCGAUUCAGAAAGAUUAUAAACUUUUUUUUAUAAAUAUGGCCCAUUAUUAAUGAUGUUAUGAAACAAAUACUCUAGGGAUAACAGCGUAAUAAUUUUAGAUAGACCAUAUAGAUAAAAUAGUUUGCGACCUCGAUGUU